CUUGCCACUCUAUUGGUCUGGGCUGGUUAGACUUCCUGCAUAAACAUAAACACCUCCAGUUUCAACUUUCUUGUUCAAAGUGGAAAGAAGCAGCUUCUUGACAACAAUGGGUUCUAAAGUGUGGAGGUGAAAGAGAGAGGAAGAGAGAUGGCAUUUAUUUGCUACUGCUCCACAGUGCUGACGCUGUUCAAAGGGGAGAGAUUCUCAUGCCCAAAUGUUGGACAUAUGCCAGGUGGUUUGCAACGCUAGGAGCUGGAAAACAACAGAACCAGAAGAAAAGGAGAUCUGAUGAAUGUCUAAAACUGGACACGUGGGGGCAAGACUGUACGCAGACAGAGACAGUUCCCCAAGUACUGAAGGAAUUUGGCAAUGGACAGUGGUUACGCACCUUUAAAAAACUGUCUUGGCUCAGCCCUUCCGAUUAAUACAGAGUCAAAAGAAUGUUUUAUCUGUCGGGAAGGAGAUGAGAUGGGCCGUGACGCUCUGCUGCACUUCUGUGACUGCAAAAACUUGAUUGCUCACCAGAAAUGUCUUUUAACUUGGAUACAAAAGGGUCCUCAUUAUGAAGGUACUCCAACAUGCAAAGUAUGUACAGCUGAGUACCAACUUGUGGAAACAUCACCUUGGAGAAAUCUGGUCUUGCGAUGGGACAAGUGGGCCAUCUUCUGCACAGUUGCAGCGCUCAUGAUCAGCAUUCCGUUUCUGGUCUAUCAACUCCUAAUCACUUUUAAGGAUCCUCCUCCUGCUCUUGUUUUCCACAUUGCAGCCAUUACCUUUGGAGUGCUCACAGAAAUACUCCUGACCAAAAUGGAGAUGCAACUUGUUGCAUUGGAACUGAUGUAAUGCCCAUGAUGUCAAGUUCUUUGUCCGGUUCAGUUAUUUCUCACUGGCAAAGCAUCUUGUUAAACUUGCUGUGGAAUUCUUGCCACACAGAAGCAUCAGUGAACAUGGCGGAAUAUUCAUGAAUGGCCCAAUUCUUCAAGCACUGGAUGCCUGGUAAACUACUGCAGCCGCAACCUUGAAACAGCCAGGAUGUCUUCAUUUUCCAUCAGAGCGAGAACCGUAUAGCACUGAGACCAGAGCAUCUGUGGUUGCACGUCCAGCCAGUCAGAAUCCAUGAACAGCUGCCAGGAACCGAGCAGCAGUGGAGGAGAGGAGAUGCAGGAGGCAGCCAAAGCCUAACCUUGAAGCUCUUUUUUUUCUGAGUGGAGCAGAAUGAGAUCAGGGCAGAGGAACCCCCAGCACACAAGAAAACUAAACAGAUUGACUCUCAGUGACUCAUUUAGCUUCAGGAUUGGACAGAUCUCUCCCCUGCUGGCAAUUUGGCUGAGCAUCAAUGGGCCAGAUACCAGGAUGAAUAGCUUAAAAUAAUUAACAGGAGGGAGGGAUUGAAAUCUGCAAAACUGCUCGCCAUCCAAUUCUUUCCCAUGGAAUGAAAGACACAAAAACAAAUUACAUUUAGGUUAUUAAAUAUUAAGUCAUUGGAUUUAUCUCCGCUUGGCCCAAAGCAGGAAACUGGAAAAUAUUCAACAUUGAUAUCAUUGUGUUGAUGGGGCUGUUUAUCAUUGAGUAACUGACUGGAUUUUGGCAGGUCAGACAGGUCUUUGACACAUGAAUAGGGGUGGGGAAUGCACUUGCAAUCAUCCCCCACACACUCAUACAAAAAAGAAUAAUUAAUUCAGCAAGCAAUUCCGGCAUGCUUAUGAAUGUAUACAAAACCAAAAUUGCUUACAUUCAAGAGAGGGUCUCGCUCGGCGAGUGGGACUUUCAACCUUGUAUUGACAUUUGCGGGCCUGGUUUUGCUUCCAGUGAACAAGGUGGAAAUUUUGAUACUCUUUCCAGGAGAAACAGGCUGAGAUCCCGGAAGCAAUGUAGACAGCACUUUGUAUUUAAUGCGCAAAACCAGAAGCAACAGGCUCAUUUAGUAUCAGUAAAGGUCAGUUAAAAUUAUAGAGACAUCCUUUGGAGCAAAUCCCCUGCCUUCUAUUUGCAUAUUUAUGAACUAGAGAUUACGACAGCCCAUUCCAUUUAUUAGAGCAGCGAUGCUAUAGUUAAUAGUCUGUCAGGGUUUCCAUUAUAAACCCCCUUUUUUUCAGGGUUUUAAUAUCCCAGCCACUUGAAAUCAUGUCAAGCAAGCAAGUCACUUUUGUUAAGCCAGGUGCAGUCAUUUUCCCCCCUGUUUGUUUUUGCUUAAUUUAAAAUUAAAAUAGAUUUAAAGGAGUUUGGUCUUCUCUGACUUCGAAGGAGCAACAAGAGAAUGGGAAGGUUAUUUUUGUUGCUUUCCUACCUUCAUCUCUGUGGCAUGUGGGAACAAAACAGUAGUUCUCACAUGUGAUAUGCCAAAUUCUUCUUAAACUGUGUCAAAUUUAUUUUGAGUUGAACCUGUGGAUUAUUACAUUACCUAUUGCUUAAAUCACAGAUCAAUUAAACUAGACAUUUUAAAAAAAAUUCAGGACAAUCUUGUACGUGUUUGCUGAGAAGGAAAUCCUAUUGACUUCAUUGUGACUUAUUCAGUGAUAGGUUGAUAGGAUUGCAAUCCCAAUAGACUUUAAACCAUCUAUAUUUGCUGCUUUUACUGUUCUGUUGACCAACUUUCCUGAGAAGACUUUACUCCUGUUUUGCAAAUGGAGGCAACCCUGCUUCAAUGGUAGAGGAAACUCAUAUCCCACCUGAAUUAAACAUUGAAACUUCAGAUUAGGGGCUUCCAAUGAACUUUAUUAUGCAGUUGCCCUGUUUUAUUCACCAGCUCCUAGGAGGGCCCAGAGCAAACUUAAGAGUCUUUGAAUAUAACACUCACAUGCCUAGAACAAGUCUGGCCGGUAGAUCUGUUGUAGUCAAAAAAAGUAAGUUAUCCCAUUCUGCUCCAGAAGACAUUGUGUUACAUUUGUAAAACAUCCAUGUUUUCCUCCACUUGACCCUUCAAGGUUAUUGUUAUUUGUUAAUUGGAAAAACAGGGAAUAGCUGGAAAAUGCUUUCUAUGUGGACACACCCUGGAUUACUAAAAGGACAGCUAUAUGUAUACCCAACAGUAUUUCUUUUGACUUCAGGAGGACAACUCGGAGUACAGUACUGUAUAGCAAUUUCAAUGCUUGUGUGUAGCUUGAAUGUGUGAUUCUGAAAUAUUUAAGCAGAAAUUGUUGUAAGAAUCGCAGAUCACAACAGGCUGUUGAUCAACAAUUAAACACUCUGCCUCUGACACUAGCCAGUUGGAUGUCCCUGCCCAGCAUGGCAAGAUGGAGAUAGAUUUAUCCCUUUUUUGCUUGUUUUAGUAACCACCAAUGAUAAUAAAGGUAUUGGUGUGUGGACAUAGUCUUUUUGGGAAUUAGUCUGCCCAUAUCAUCUGAAAUCAAGGGAACAUAAUCAAGGAUUAUUUUUCAAGUGACUGUGGCAAAUAACAGUCCUUCUUAAUUUUAGCUUAGCUAAAAUUCAAGAGCCCAGCUUCACAAUGUUUUGUAGUUUGUGUUAUGGGCACAGUUUCCACUAAACAGGUUUCCACUAGGUCCCAUUGAUUUAAUGUAGCUGUAAAUGACCUUCACAACUUUUGAAUGGCUUUCUGGGGGGCCUUGGCUUUUGAUGGUUAAUUUCAUUUGCAGUGAAUGUUUUCAGCCUUGGAUACAUGUUUGCAGAUUAAGCAUCCCCACCCCCCACUUCCAAUCUGGAAAAGCAAUAAUAGGCAAGUCCUAUAGAUCUGAUUGAGGACUAUUUGUCUAGCCUCAUUGUGGUCUCUUGAUAGCCAAAUAUCCUAAGGCUGCAGAGGCAGUUCUAAAUAUUUUCAUAUGAGCUAAUAAAUGGAAGACCUUUCUAUAAAAACAGCCCGUUCCCCUUCAUACCUGGACAGUCAUCUUAAGCUAUAAGCCUUCCUGUUUUCUCUCCCCACUUCUGGCCAUUGUUCCAG